rnacentral:rRNA from 1 species
GAUGAACGCUAGCUACAGGCUUAACACAUGCAAGUCGAGGGGCAGCAUGGUCUUAGCUUGCUAAGGCCGAUGGCGACCGGCGCACGGGUGAGUAACACGUAUCCAACCUGCCGUCUACUCUUGGACAGCCUUCUGAAAGGAAGAUUAAUACAAGAUGGCAUCAUGAGUCCGCAUGUUCACAUGAUUAAAGGUAUUCCGGUAGACGAUGGGGAUGCGUUCCAUUAGAUAGUAGGCGGGGUAACGGCCCACCUAGUCUUCGAUGGAUAGGGGUUCUGAGAGGAAGGUCCCCCACAUUGGAACUGAGACACGGUCCAAACUCCUACGGGAGGCAGCAGUGAGGAAUAUUGGUCAAUGGGCGAGAGCCUGAACCAGCCAAGUAGCGUGAAGGAUGACUGCCCUAUGGGUUGUAAACUUCUUUUAUAAAGGAAUAAAGUCGGGUAUGGAUACCCGUUUGCAUGUACUUUAUGAAUAAGGAUCGGCUAACUCCGUGCCAGCAGCCGCGGUAAUACGGAGGAUCCGAGCGUUAUCCGGAUUUAUUGGGUUUAAAGGGAGCGUAGAUGGAUGUUUAAGUCAGUUGUGAAAGUUUGCGGCUCAACCGUAAAAUUGCAGUUGAUACUGGAUAUCUUGAGUGCAGUUGAGGCAGGCGGAAUUCGUGGUGUAGCGGUGAAAUGCUUAGAUAUCACGAAGAACUCCGAUUGCGAAGGCAGCCUGCUAAGCUGCAACUGACAUUGAGGCUCGAAAGUGUGGGUAUCAAACAGGAUUAGAUACCCUGGUAGUCCACACGGUAAACGAUGAAUACUCGCUGUUUGCGAUAUACAGCAAGCGGCCAAGCGAAAGCGUUAAGUAUUCCACCUGGGGAGUACGCCGGCAACGGUGAAACUCAAAGGAAUUGACGGGGGCCCGCACAGGCGGAGGAACAUGUGGUUUAAUUCGAUGAUACGCGAGGAACCUUACCCGGGCUUAAAUUGCAGAUGAAUUACGGUGAAAGCCGUAAGCCGCAAGGCAUCUGUGAAGGUGCUGCAUGGUUGUCGUCAGCUCGUGCCGUGAGGUGUCGGCUUAAGUGCCAUAACGAGCGCAACCCUUGUUGUCAGUUACUAACAGGUUCUGCUGAGGACUCUGACAAGACUGCCAUCGUAAGAUGUGAGGAAGGUGGGGAUGACGUCAAAUCGGCACGGCCCUUACGUCCGGGGCUACACACGUGUUACAAUGGGGGGUACAGAGGGCCGCUACCACGCGAGUGGAUGCCAAUCCCCAAAACCUCUCUCAGUUCGGACUGGAGUCUGCAACCCGACUCCACGAAGCUGGAUUCGCUAGUAAUCGCGCAUCAGCCACGGCGCGGUGAAUACGUUCCCGGGCCUUGUACACACCGCCCGUCAAGCCAUGGGAGCCGGGGUACCUGAAGUGCGUAACCGCGAGGAGCGCCCUAGGGUAAAACUGGUGACUGGGGCUAAGUCAUAACA